rnacentral:ncRNA from 1 species
GAAAGCCGUGUGCAAUGAAAAAUGCAAACACAGCUUGGGGAGGAAUUUUUUCUUAUUUUAUUUUAUUGUUGAAUUUGUUAAAAAAUAAAUUAUCUACUUCAU